UCUGGCAGCACAAGAACUGUCUUCCAGGCCUAUGCAGGACUCACUCUCCCUGUACAGGUAGUGAUUGGCAAACACCAACCGUGGUGUCCUCAGAGCGUUCCCAGCCGUGUCCAGUCCCUUAUCGAGUGAACACUCACAGAAUUACCAGGCUUCUUAUUCCCAAAGGAAAAGUACACACCAGCUUGGCUGGCCCUGACCCUUGCCUGUGCUGGUGAGAAUCCAUUUGUGCAAACACGCUUACUGACUGUGAUGAGACUACGCAGAAGACCAAGGCAUGAACCAGGCUCCAUCGUAUUGAUGCUGCUCUAGCAAAAGAUAUGACUGUGCCCACCUAAUAACCUAGGACCAACACAACUACAACAACGCUGCAUACAGCAAGGGACAGAUGGUCACUCAUCUUCCAACAAUCUGGUCACAGCUUUACAGUGUUACAAUGGGAGUGUGUACUUUGGAUUGGAACUUCAUGUUAUUGUACCACAACUAUUACUGAAGGAUUUUGGACGUUAAUACUUUCUUUCUUUUUCUUUCCGUUUUUCUUUUUCUUUUUUUUGCUACGCAAGGCAUUCCUUCAUGCCGGGCAGUUGCUUUUUCAAAUGGAAAGUGAGCACCAUAGAAUUAUUGCAAUUUUCAGUGGCGUGCCACCGGCUUAGGACUGGAAUAACCCAGCUUUGAAUCAGGCCUCUUGUCUCUUGAUGGUGGGUGGACUGAUCCAUUGUACUGUUAACAUUAUUUUGUACUGAACCCAGCCAGCAAGAGGCAUUCUGCAGAACUGCAGUAAACAUCAUAGA